GAUUCCUACGAGUUACCCAGGGACGAGGACGGGGGACCCACGUCCCCAGUGGACACCGAGGAAAUCGCGCAAGCGAAUUUCUCUUGGGGUGAAGCCAGACCCGCACCAUCCAGGAGCGGCGAGGCCGGGCGACCUCUCAGCCCGAACCCGACAGCUGACCUCGCAGGCGCGUGAGGAGAGGAAAA
rnacentral:sRNA from 2 species